rnacentral:tRNA from 1 species
GAAGAAUUAGUUAAAUAAUAACAUUAAAAUGUCAAUUUAAAGUUAUCAAAAUCUGAUACUCUUCU